GACGAACGCUGGCGGCGUGCUUAACACAUGCAAGUCGAACGGAAAGGCCCUGCUUUUGUGGGGUGCUCGAGUGGCGAACGGGUGAGUAACACGUGAGUAACCUGCCCUUGACUUUGGGAUAACUUCAGGAAACUGGGGCUAAUACCGGAUAGGAGCUCCUGCUGCAUGGUGGGGGUUGGAAAGUUUCGGCGGUUGGGGAUGGACUCGCGGCUUAUCAGCUUGUUGGUGGGGUAGUGGCUUACCAAGGCUUUGACGGGUAGCCGGCCUGAGAGGGUGACCGGCCACAUUGGGAAUGAGAUACGGAGCAGGCUGCUACGGGAGGCAGCAGUGGGGAAUAAUGCAGAAUGGGCGGAAGCCUGAGGCAGAAACGCCGCGUGCGGGAGGACGGCCUUCGGGUUGUAAACCGAUUUCGCAUGUGACGAAGCGUGAGUGACGGUAAUGGGUAAAGAAGCACCGGCUAACUACGUG
rnacentral:rRNA from 1 species